rnacentral:rRNA from 1 species
GAUGAACGCUGGCGGCGUGCUUAACACAUGCAAGUCGAGCGGAAAGGCGCCGGCUUUCAGGGGUACUCGAGUGGCGAACGGGUGAGUAACACGUGGAGGAACUGCCCUGCACUUCGGGAUAAACCUGGGGAACUGGGGCGAAAACCGGGGAGGACAUUUGUUUGGAUACGAUUGUGGAAAGAUUUUCGGUGUGGGUUGAGCUCGCGGCCUAUGAGCUUGUUCGUGGGGUAAUGGCCUACCAAGGCGUCGACGGGUAGCCGGCCGGGGAGGGUGUACGGCCACAAUGCGCCUGAGAUACGGCCCAGACUCCUACGGGAGGCAGCAGUGGGGAAUAUUGCGCAAUGGGCGCAAGCCUGAUGCAGCGACGCCGCGUGGGUGAUGACGGCCUUCGGGUUGUAAACUCCUUUCGCUAGAGACGAAGCGCAAGUGACGGUACCUGGAGAAGAAGCCCCGGCUAACUACGUG